rnacentral:rRNA from 1 species
AAAACGACUAUCGGCAACGGAUAUCUCGGCUCUCGCAUCGAUGAAGAACGUAGCGAAAUGCGAUACUUGGUGUGAAUUGCAGAAUCCCGUGAACCAUCGAGUCUUUGAACGCAAGUUGCGCCCGAACCCUWAGCCAUUAGGCCGAGGGCACGUCUGCCUGGGCGUCAC